rnacentral:rRNA from 1 species
AUACGUAGGGGGCGAGCGUUGUCCGGAAUGAUUGGGCGUAAAGGGCGCGUAGGCGGCGCGGUAAGUCUGGAGUGAAAGUCCUGCUUUCAAGGUGGGAAUUGCUUUGGAUACUGCCGCGCUUGAGUGCAGGAGAGGUUAUCGGAAUUCCCGGUGUAGCGGUGAAAUGCGUAGAGAUCGGGAGGAACACCAGUGGCGAAGGCGGGUAACUGGACUGCAACUGACGCUGAGGCGCGAAAGUGUGGGGAGCAAACAGGAUUAGAUACCCUGGUAGUCCACACUGUAAACGAUGAAUGCUAGGUGUAAGAGGUAUCGACCCCUUUUGUGCCGGAGUCAACACAAUAAGCAUCCCGCCUGGGGAGUACGGCCGCAAGGUUGAAACUCAAAUGAAUUGACGGGG